CCUACGGGGGGCAGCAGUGGGGAAUAUUGCACAAUGGGGGAAACCCUGAUGCAGCGACGCCGCGUGAGUGAAGAAGUAAUUCGUUAUGUAAAGCUCUAUCAGCAGGGAAGAAAAUGACGGUACCUGAGUAAGAAGCCCCGGCUAACUACGUGCCAGCAGCCGCGGUAAUACGUAGGGGGCAAGCGUUAUCCGGAUUUACUGGGUGUAAAGGGAGCGUAGACGGCAGUGCAAGUCUGGAGUGAAAGGCGGGGGCUCAACCCCCGGACUGCUCUGGAAACUGUACGGCUGGAGUGCAGGAGAGGUAAGUGGAAUUCCUAGUGUAGCGGUGGAAUGCGUAGAUAUUAGGAGGAACACCAGUGGCGAAGGCGGCUUACUGGACUGUAACUGACGUUGAGGCUCGAAAGCGUGGGGAGCAAACAGGAUUAGAUACCCCGGUAGUC
rnacentral:rRNA from 1 species